UAAAAAACAGUCAUAUAGCACAACUCUCUUGUAUGACUGUAAAUCCCAAGUUUAUUAAAAUAGUGAUCUGAGACUCCUGCAAGUAAAAAAAAUGCCUGCUCUGUCGUGCCUCAGUCUUUAGGAAGACUGCUCAAGCAGUCCUUUGGAAAGCAUAGCUCACCUUUAACCACGUGGGAGCUGAAGGCACAGAAAGCUGUUCUUCUCACCUCAACUAGGAUGUAUAAAUUGGUGGCUUGAUCGGGGAGCAAUCUGGUACCUGAUAUUUGUGAAUAAGGAUGGAAGAAGAUCCCUGAAAAGCUUAAUUUUGAGACAAAAAUAAACAGGAAGACAACCUCA
rnacentral:lncRNA from 1 species